GGGAGUGUAGCUCAGUGGUACAGCUCCUGCCUAGUGUGCAUGAGGUCCUGGGUUACAUCCCCAGCACCA
rnacentral:tRNA from 1 species